CCGGUUGACCUCGGAUCAGGUAGGGAUACCCGCUGAACUUAAGCAUAUCAAUAAGCGGAGGAAAAGAAACCAACAGGGAUUGCCUCAGUAACGGCGAGUGAAGCGGCAACAGCUCAAAUUUGAAAUCUGGCUCCGGCGGGGUCCGAGUUGUAAUUUGCAGAGGGUGUUUCGGGUGCGGUGCCGGCCUAAGUUCCUUGGAACAGGACGUCAUAGAGGGUGAGAAUCCCGUCUGCGCGUCGGCCACCUACCCCGGGUGAAGCCCCUUCGACGAGUCGAGUUGUUUGGGAAUGCAGCUCAAAAUGGGUGGUAAAUUUCAUCUAAAGCUAAAUACCGGCCAGAGACCGAUAGCGCACAAGUAGAGUGAUCGAAAGAUGAAAAGCACUUUGGAAAGAGAGUUAAAAAGUACGUGAAAUUGUUGAAAGGGAAGCGCUUGCGACCAGACCUGUCCCCGGGCGAUCAUCCGCCAUUCGUGGCGGUGCACUCGCCCGGACGCAGGCCAGCAUCGGUUCGGGCGGCGGGACAAAGGGCCCAGGAACGUAACUCCCUCCGGGGAGCCUUAUAGCCCGGGCUGCCAUGCCGCCCGCCCGGACCGAGGACCGCGCUUCGGCUAGGAUGCUGGCGUAAUGGUCGUAAGCGACCC
rnacentral:rRNA from 1 species